rnacentral:misc_RNA from 1 species
UUUCCGUAGGUGAACCUGCGGAAGGAUCAUUAUUGUAUAACCAAGGUGCAAGGGCUUUCGCUGACCCGAAUUGUCGUGCACGCCCGAGUGCCCUCACACACAACAAUCUCACCCCUAUGUGCACCACCGCGUGGGUCCCCCUUUGGCUGGUUCGGCGGGGGGCUUCCGUUUUCACACAAAAUUUUUAAGCAGUGUAGAAUGUAUUUUUUGUUUUUGCGAUGACGCAAUCAAUACAACUUUCAACAACUGAUCACUUCGCUCUCACAUCGAUGAAGAACG